rnacentral:rRNA from 1 species
UACGGAGGGAGCUAGCGUUAAUCGGAAUUACUGGGCGUAAAGCGCGCGUAGGCGGAUCAGAAAGUUGGAGGUGAAAUCCCAGGGCUCAACCUUGGAACUGCCUUCAAAACUCCUGGUCUUGAGUUCGAGAGAGGUGAGUGGAAUUCCGAGUGUAGAGGUGAAAUUCGUAGAUAUUCGGAGGAACACCAGUGGCGAAGGCGACAUACUGGCUCAUUACUGACGCUGAGGCGCGAAAGCGUGGGGAGCAAACAGG